CCCUGCACCAAGGGACAUACAUACUGGAGUUGCUACUGGUCCCUGAAACUUCCGAACUUCACUCUCUAGCCCUCAGUAUUUUCUCCUGUAAGAUGAGUGGGGGCUGAAGGGGUUGACUCAAGACAUCUUUCACUCAAGAUCAAGAAGGAGGUCCCUCCUAUCAGGUCUGGUCCAACAGUCAACCCCAUGGCUAUACCCACCCCAACCUUCCCAACCUGAGGUGGGAGAGCCUACUGCUUUUUUCAAAGUAUUUCUCUUUCCAGGCUCCCUACAGGAAGUCACCAUCCUUCUGGGGCCUCAAUAAAGGUACUAUCCAGGUUGCUAGAAAGCACUGCCAAGGAUCAUGACUUCUAGGCUGCCGUUCUUGGUUCAGCCACAUUACUAGCAACAUGACCGCUCCAGGUUCGGUUUCCUUAUCUGUAAAAUGGGAAUUCCAUCAUCAUCGGCCUCAUCUCAUCGGCUACCUGCUCCAGUCAGAGGCAUGCUCCUACAAAGGAUUCAGGGGGCGACCUCUAUCAUCUGUUCCUCCUCAAUGCUAAUCAAGUUUCCAGAAUCACUUGGUCUGCAGGCUUCAGAGGCCAAACUCAAGUCAUCUGCUUGUACAGCCGGAGUGCUUCCCUGUUGUGCGCCUCAGUUCCCAGCUCUUUUCUAACUUGCUUAAAGCACGGUCAGGUCCCAAGGAUCAAACUCAGGUCAUCCUGCUUGGUGGUCAACUCUUUUUUCCACUGAGUCAUCUCAUUUCCCCCCUUUAUGGUAUCUUUCAACUAUUUCCUAGAGCCUGAGGGCAGAGAUGGGGGGGUGUAAAGAGGUGAGUGCACUUAACUCUUUAGAAACCUCACACAUCUUCCUGAGGCUACUGCUUCAAGAAAAUCACUAAUAGUGUCCUAUUAAAAGUCAAACUGUUGAA